GCAACAUUGGGUCGCCGUCCAAGACAGACGGCUUUGUGCGUCGGAAUCUUUAAUUAAAUUCACAAAAAAGAAUAAUUUGUCGAUAACCAUUACGCCACCAUUCAAACAGUACGAUGUGAAGCUACCAUCUGCGCCGUAAAUGAAAAUCAAAUGGCGAGUAGUUCUGAAGUAAAAUGAGAAAAUCUGUUAUGGCCAGAUUUUUGGAGAUCGAUGGGUGGUUUUCAUUAGAUGACGCUCUGUCACGCAGCCUGUAUAACUAGCGACACGUUCAAUUUGAAAAUGAUCUUUUAAAGGUAUUUGGGAUAUACUUGUAUUAACACAAAAACAUCGAGUACUAGACAUCCUCGGACAGAAAUGUUACAGGCUUAACUCUGAUUCGAAAACGUCAACAGAAAAUGAUCAGACCUUGAAAAACGUUUGCCAACUAUUUUUACUUCAUAACGUUUUUGUUCAGUGCAAAGGAAACGUUCGUUUGUUAUCGUCUCAAACGACAGGCCAAGAAGCCUGUUGGUGCUUAGCAAAGAUACGGCCACGUUCGAUCUAGGCUGACGUCAGUUGAAAUCCAGCUCCUCUUCCCUUCAGAAAAAGGCCGAACUGCAAGAAAUCGCGCAAUCUUCACAUCAAGCUUGGUGAAUGAUUUGUCUAGAGAAAGUCCUCAUCCUAUCAGAGUCCAGCGAAAAUAGAGGAGUAGAGGCAACCUUCUACUGACAUUUAUUAGCCACAUCUUUUUCAAGUUUUCGAAAUAAAUACGUUAUGUUAACUGAAGGGCCUGUCGCAAAAUUCAUUUCUUGAUAGCAAAGAGAUUUUGCAGCAUUCAAGUAAAAGAUAAAAAAAUCAUAAUCGAUGGACACACCUUACAUGCUGAUAAAUGGAUGUUAAUUCCUGGAUAUGAAAGAGUUCAUAGCAUGAAUGGCUGAAGAAAAUAAUUUUGACUAAAUAAAUAAUCACAGAUUAUUAUCUAUAUAGACAACUGGUUCCACUGUUUAAACACUUCGGUAUCGAGAGCUGUGAAGUCUCCCUUCUCUACAUUUUCUAUGAUCUUGACCUCAUCGAACAUCGUCCUCAAAGGGAUACCCAGCCAAGACUUGAUCGUCCCUAUCCCAGGCUUCCCUUAGGAUUAAGAACCGUAUUACUACUCAGUCCCACGAACCCAGGGUCCGGACCUCCAGCGGCCCGCAGAAGUUAGGUCUAAGAAGUAACCCAGGUUCGACCUCGGCGUGGAUCGUUGGUGGUGGACGUGUGGGGUGAUGGGUUGUGUCUUGUCAUUCAUCAGGUCCCUCAGGUCCUAUCAUGGAUCGCACCUCACGCCCAGGCAGCUGGAGAGACAGCGGCGCCAGCGAACUCAAAAGACGCAGUCAAAACCAACGAGGCAGCCGACGCCACCAAGUUCUCCUGAAGAUGACGAGCGCCGCGCCCUCAGUUUCGACGCUGGACACAGCUCCUACACUGCCCCUUCGCCUUCGCCGACUCCCGCACCUAAAUCCAAGGCCCCCAAGCUCUUUAAGGGCAAGAGAUAAGGGCGGCCCCCCAACAACUGCUGACCUCUAUUUACCUGUGCCAAUGGAUUGCUGAUAGUCAUCGACGAAAAGAUAUUGUCCCCACAUCAUGAUCUUGGGUCAAGUGCUCUGCCAGUGUGACUUGAGUUAAUAAAUUUUACGUCACAAUAGGCCAUGAGUCAACUAAUUUACCAUCAUGCCCUCAGAUCAUGAGCAUUUAAUUCUUAACAUUCCAAGUCAAUCAGGGUAUUGUACGCCGUCAACUAGGUUAACUUCGAGUCGUAAUAAAAAUGUCUGUUUAUGAACUCUCCAAUUUGUUCCUCUUGUCGCGAUCUGUACCUCGUAAUACUGGAGGGUAAUAGUUUAU